rnacentral:rRNA from 1 species
UGGGGAAUAUUGGACAAUGGGGGCAACCCUGAUCCAGCAAUACCGCGUGAGUGAAGAAGGCCUUCGGGUUGUAAAGCCCUUUUACCGGGGAAGAUAAUGACGGUACCCGGGGAAUAAGCUCCGGCUAACUUCGUGCCAGCAGCCGCGGUAAUACGAAGGGAGCUAGCGUUGUUCGGAAUUACUGGGCGUAAAGGGCGCGUAGGCGGUUUUGUAAGUCAGAUGUGAAAGCCCCGGGCUUAACCUGGGAACUGCAUUUGAGACUGCAAGACUAGAGAUCGAGAGAGGAAAGUGGAAUUACGAGUGUAGAAGUGAAAUUCGUAGAUAUUCGUAGGAACACCGGUGGCGAAGGCGACUUUCUGGCUCGACCCUGACGCUAAAGCGCGAAAGCGUGGGGAGCAAACA